GACAGAGGUCUCGAGCGUUAGGCGGAAUCACUGGGCUUAAAGCGUGUGUAGGCGGAGUUCUAAGUACCUUGUGAAAUCCCACGGCUUAACCGUGGAACUGCUUGGUAUACUGGUUCUCUUGGGCCGCUUAGGGGCUACCGGAACAAACGGUGGAGCGGUGAAAUGCGUAGAUAUCGUUUGGAACGCCAAUGGUGAAAACAGGUAGCUGGGAGUGUGCCGACGCUGAGACACGAAAGCCAGGGGAGCGAACGGG
rnacentral:rRNA from 1 species